AAUUUCAGCUGAAAAAAUUAUGAAUACAAAAGUUGUAGAACUCAUCAAGAACUACAACUUUUAUUUUGGUCAUUUCUUCAUCCGACAAAGUGAUAAUAACAUUGUUCAUAAAAUUUGCAUAUCUCUCUUAUAAGCUUAUGAAACCAUAUAUGAGAUAUGUAAAUUUUGUAAACAAUGUUAGUAUCGCUUUGUCGGAUGAAAAAAAUGACUAAAAUAAAAGUUAUAGAUCUUGAUAAGUUAUACAACUUUGUUGUUGAUGAGUUUUUCAGUUAAAAUC
rnacentral:pre_miRNA from 1 species